rnacentral:rRNA from 1 species
AGAUUAAGUUAUUAAGGGCGCACGGUGGAUGCCUUGGCACUAGAAGCCGAUGAAGGACGUUACUAACGACGAUAUGCUUUGGGGAGCUGUAAGUAAGCUUUGAUCCAGAGAUUUCCGAAUGGGGAAACCCAGCAUGAGUUAUGUCAUGUUAUCGAUAUGUGAAUACAUAGCAUAUCAGAAGGCACACCCGGAGAACUGAAACAUCUUAGUACCCGGAGGAAGAGAAAGAAAAUUCGAUUCCCUUAGUAGCGGCGAGCGAAACGGGAAGAGCCCAAACCAACAAGCUUGCUUGUUGGGGUUGUAGGACACUCUAUACGGAGUUACAAAGGACGACAUUAGACGAAUCAUCUGGAAAGAUGAAUCAAAGAAGGUAAUAAUCCUGUAGUCGAAAAUGUUGUCUCUCUUGAGUGGAUCCUGAGUACGACGGAGCACGUGAAAUUCCGUCGGAAUCUGGGAGGACCAUCUCCUAAGGCUAAAUACUCUCUAGUGACCGAUAGUGAACCAGUACCGUGAGGGAAAGGUGAAAAGCACCCCGGAAGGGGAGUGAAAUAGAACCUGAAACCGUGUGCUUACAAGUAGUCAGAGCCCGUUAAUGGGUGAUGGCGUGCCUUUUGUAGAAUGAACCGGCGAGUUACGAUUUGAUGCAAGGUUAAGCAGUAAAUGUGGAGCCGUAGCGAAAGCGAGUCUGAAUAGGGCGUUUAGUAUUUGGUCGUAGACCCGAAACCAGGUGAUCUACCCUUGGUCAGGUUGAAGUUCAGGUAACACUGAAUGGAGGACCGAACCGACUUACGUUGAAAAGUGAGCGGAUGAACUGAGGGUAGCGGAGAAAUUCCAAUCGAACCUGGAGAUAGCUGGUUCUCUCCGAAAUAGCUUUAGGGCUAGCCUCAAGUGAUGAUUAUUGGAGGUAGAGCACUGUUUGGACGAGGGGCCCCUCUCGGGUUACCGAAUUCAGACAAACUCCGAAUGCCAAUUAAUUUAACUUGGGAGUCAGAACAUGGGUGAUAAGGUCCGUGUUCGAAAGGGAAACAGCCCAGACCACCAGCUAAGGUCCCAAAAUAUAUGUUAAGUGGAAAAGGAUGUGGCGUUGCCCAGACAACUAGGAUGUUGGCUUAGAAGCAGCCAUCAUUUAAAGAGUGCGUAAUAGCUCACUAGUCGAGUGACACUGCGCCGAAAAUGUACCGGGGCUAAACAUAUUACCGAAGCUGUGGAUUGUCCUUUGGACAAUGGUAGGAGAGCGUUCUAAGGGCGUUGAAGCAUGAUCGUAAGGACAUGUGGAGCGCUUAGAAGUGAGAAUGCCGGUGUGAGUAGCGAAAGACGGGUGAGAAUCCCGUCCACCGAUUGACUAAGGUUUCCAGAGGAAGGCUCGUCCGCUCUGGGUUAGUCGGGUCCUAAGCUGAGGCCGACAGGCGUAGGCGAUGGAUAACAGGUUGAUAUUCCUGUACCACCUAUAAUCGUUUUAAUCGAUGGGGGGGGACGCAGUAGGAUAGGCGAAGCGUGCGAUUGGAUUGCACGUCUAAGCAGUAAGGCUGAGUAUUAGGCAAAUCCGGUACUCAUUAAGGCUGAGCUGUGAUGGGGAGAAGACAUUGUGUCUUCGAGUCGUUGAUUUCACACUGCCGAGAAAAGCCUCUAGAUAGAAAAUAGGUGCCCGUACCGCAAACCGACACAGGUAGUCAAGAUGAGAAUUCUAAGGUGAGCGAGCGAACUCUCGUUAAGGAACUCGGCAAAAUGACCCCGUAACUUCGGGAGAAGGGGUGCUCUUUAGGGUUAACGCCCAGAAGAGCCGCAGUGAAUAGGCCCAAGCGACUGUUUAUCAAAAACACAGGUCUCUGCUAAACCGUAAGGUGAUGUAUAGGGGCUGACGCCUGCCCGGUGCUGGAAGGUUAAGAGGAGUGGUUAGCUUCUGCGAAGCUACGAAUCGAAGCCCCAGUAAACGGCGGCCGUAACUAUAACGGUCCUAAGGUAGCGAAAUUCCUUGUCGGGUAAGUUCCGACCCGCACGAAAGGCGUAACGAUUUGGGCACUGUCUCAACGAGAGACUCGGUGAAAUCAUAGUACCUGUGAAGAUGCAGGUUACCCGCGACAGGACGGAAAGACCCCGUGGAGCUUUACUGUAGCCUGAUAUUGAAAUUCGGCACAGCUUGUACAGGAUAGGUAGGAGCCUUUGAAACGUGAGCGCUAGCUUACGUGGAGGCGCUGGUGGGAUACUACCCUAGCUGUGUUGGCUUUCUAACCCGCACCACUUAUCGUGGUGGGAGACAGUGUCAGGCGGGCAGUUUGACUGGGGCGGUCGCCUCCUAAAAGGUAACGGAGGCGCUCAAAGGUUCCCUCAGAAUGGUUGGAAAUCAUUCAUAGAGUGUAAAGGCAUAAGGGAGCUUGACUGCGAGACCUACAAGUCGAGCAGGGUCGAAAGACGGACUUAGUGAUCCGGUGGUUCCGCAUGGAAGGGCCAUCGCUCAACGGAUAAAAGCUACCCCGGGGAUAACAGGCUUAUCUCCCCCAAGAGUUCACAUCGACGGGGAGGUUUGGCACCUCGAUGUCGGCUCAUCGCAUCCUGGGGCUGUAGUCGGUCCCAAGGGUUGGGCUGUUCGCCCAUUAAAGCGGUACGCGAGCUGGGUUCAGAACGUCGUGAGACAGUUCGGUCCCUAUCCGUCGUGGGCGUAGGAAAUUUGAGAGGAGCUGUCCUUAGUACGAGAGGACCGGGAUGGACAUACCUCUGGUGUACCAGUUGUCGUGCCAACGGCAUAGCUGGGUAGCUAUGUGUGGACGGGAUAAGUGCUGAAAGCAUCUAAGCAUGAAGCCCCCCUCAAGAUGAGAUUUCCCAACUUCGGUUAUAAGAUCCCUCAAAGAUGAUGAGGUUAAUAGGUUCGAGGUGGAAGCAUGGUGACAUGUGGAGCUGACGAAUACUAAUCGAUCGAAGACUUAAUCAAAUU